AUUUGUUUUGUCCUAAACUUGCCGUGUGUUCUUGGAGGCGCGGGCCUCCCUGCUGUCAUCACACCUCGGAUCACCCCAGGCAAUCUCGCCCCUGUGGCUUCACCUGGGUCCAGCCAGACCUCUGCUCAGCUCUGCACGUGCUUAUCACACAUGCAGUCAAUGAACACCUCACAAAUGCAAGGUUCACAUGCAGUCUUCGAUGAACACAUCGAUCGCAUCCAGCAGUAUGUCUGUAUUGGAAAAGUCCUUCCAUAGCACCCAGUAAUGAAAAGGAAUGUGGCGGGGAGCAGUACUGGACAGUAAAACUAAAAACACCAGGAAGAUCACAGUGAGAUCAGCAGAGCCCUAGAAUGGCAAAUCCAUGACAAAGAAAAUUUCUGAUGAAUAAAAACGUGCCUGGGUC
rnacentral:lncRNA from 1 species